CUGGAGGUAUCAGAAGUGCGAAUGCUGACAUAAGUAACGAUAAAGCGGGUGAAAAGCCCGCUCGCCGGAAGACCAAGGGUUCCUGUCCAACGUUAAUCGGGGCAGGGUGAGUCGACCCCUAAGGCGAGGCCGAAAGGCGUAGUCGAUGGGAAACAGGUUAAUAUUCCUGUACUUGGUGUUACUGCGAAGGGGGGACGGAGAAGGCUAUGUUGGCCGGGCGACGGUUGUCCCGGUUUAAGCGUGUAGGCUGGUUUUCCAGGCAAAUCCGGAAAAUCAAGGCUGAGGCGUGAUGACGAGGCACUACGGUGCUGAAGCAACAAAUGCCCUGCUUCCAGGAAAAGCCUCUAAGCAUCAGGUAACAUCAAAUCGUACCCCAAACCGACACAGGUGGUCAGGUAGAGAAUACCAAGGCGCUUGAGAGAACUCGGGUGAAGGAACUAGGCAAAAUGGUGCCGUAACUUCGGGAGAAGGCACGCUGAUAUGUAGGUGAAGCGACUUGCUCGUGGAGCUGAAAUCAGUCGAAGAUACCAGCUGGCUGCAACUGUUUAUUAAAAACACAGCACUGUGCAAACACGAAAGUGGACGUAUACGGUGUGACGCCUGCCCGGUGCCGGAAGGUUAAUUGAUGGGGUUAGCGGUAACGCGAAGCUCUUGAUCGAAGCCCCGGUAAACGGCGGCCGUAACUAUAACGGUCCUAAGGUAGCGAAAUUCCUUGUCGGGUAAGUUCCGACCUGCACGAAUGGCGUAAUGAUGGCCAGGCUGUCUCCACCCGAGACUCAGUGAAAUUGAACUCGCUGUGAAGAUGCAGUGUACCCGCGGCAAGACGGAAAGACCCCGUGAACCUUUACUAUAGCUUGACACUGAACAUUGAGCCUUGAUGUGUAGGAUAGGUGGGAGGCUUUGAAGUGUGGACGCCAGUCUGCAUGGAGCCGACCUUGAAAUACCACCCUUUAAUGUUUGAUGUUCUAACGUUGGCCCCUGAUCGGGGUUGCGGACAGUGUCUGGUGGGUAGUUUGACUGGGGCGGUCUCCUCCUAAAGAGUAACGGAGGAGCACGAAGGUUGGCUAAUCCUGGUCGGACAUCAGGAGGUUAGUGCAAUGGCAUAAGCCAGCUUGACUGCGAGCGUGACGGCGCGAGCAGGUGCGAAAGCAGGUCAUAGUGAUCCGGUGGUUCUGAAUGGAAGGGCCAUCGCUCAACGGAUAAAAGGUACUCCGGGGAUAACAGGCUGAUACCGCCCAAGAGUUCAUAUCGACGGCGGUGUUUGGCACCUCGAUGUCGGCUCAUCACAUCCUGGGGCUGAAGUAGGUCCCAAGGGUAUGGCUGUUCGCCAUUUAAAGUGGUACGCGAGCUGGGUUUAGAACGUCGUGAGACAGUUCGGUCCCUAUCUGCCGUGGGCGCUGGAGAACUGAGGGGGGCUGCUCCUAGUACGAGAGGACCGGAGUGGACGCAUCACUGGUGUUCGGGUUGUCAUGCCAAUGGCACUGCCCGGUAGCUAAAUGCGGAAGAGAUAAGUGCUGAAAGCAUCUAAGCACGAAACUUGCCCCGAGAUGAG
rnacentral:rRNA from 1 species